AACAUGUGUGGGCAUUUCUGAAGCAGUGACUUGAAGCGUUCCCAAGCUUCAUAUAAAUUCUCACCCUCAAAUUGCUUAAAAUUAGCAAUGUCAUGCCUUAACU
rfam:Gossypium raimondii chromosome 8, whole genome shotgun sequence.